UUCAUUCCCUUAUUCAUUAAAUAUGCCCAUUCAUAACGACUGGCAAUUGAAUGUUGAUUAUUCAUUUUUACAGUUGUUCUCCUGAGACAUGCCCAAAGCUAGGAGAAGAGGAGGAUGAGAGAGGGUGUCAGAUGAUCACAGUGUAAGGACAGGCCUUACUGGACAGACCUUAUUUCAGCUGGAUUUCUACAAGGUGUAGCCCCAAGCACAGUAGAUGGAUUCUCCCCUAACACCACCCCUUUCUCAGCAAGGGGCAUUUCCUUCUGAGUGCUUGCAGACUGAAGAGAGGCCAGCCCCCAUUCCUGGGGCUCCCCGAGGAGCUGGCUUUCAGCAGGGUUUAGAGCAGCACGAAAAGUGAACUGACCCUGGAAAAAUGGUAAUCUUCUCAUCUGUGAGGAUAUGGAACCCCAACCUCUUCCUGGACACCUGAUGAUCUGCUUGUGAUGGGCUCAGAGUCUUGAAACACAGAACUAUGAGCUCAUCUCAUAUCCCAAUCCAGCAGCAUGGAAACCUCAGACUGCAAGGCCCAAGACUGGCACUUGUUCUCUCCCAACUCUUUUCUUUCUCUCUCUCCUUUCUUUUAUCCCUUAAUUCCUUCUUGCUUCCUUCCAAGAUUUAUACUAUUACCUUUUAGGCAAAACAUCCUGAACAUGUAAAAUAAACUAAUUAAAAUCAAGUCAAUUUCCCAACUGUUAUUUGUUAAGCCUAUGCAAGAUGUCAAAUUUUAGUCAUUUGCAUACCUAGUAUGCAAUUUUUUCUAUUCUGUGGGCCACGAGUAUUCUUUUCUCUAAGUCAACUAAUUCUUUAACUUAAACCCUGUUUAAGCUUCAUCCUGGCUGGGUGUGGUGGCUCACGCCUGUGAUCCUAGCACUUUGGGAGGCCAAGGCAGGUGGAUCACUUGAGCUCAGGAGUUUGACACCAGCCUAGCCAACAUGGUAAAACCUCGUCUUUACUAAAAACACAAAAAUCAGCCAAGCAUGGUGGCAUGCACCUG
rnacentral:lncRNA from 10 species